UGGGGAAUAUUGCGCAAUGAGCGAAAGCCUGACACAGCAACGCCGCGUGAAGGAUGAAGUAUUUCGGUAUGUAAACUUCGAAAGAAUAGGAAGAAUAAAUGACGGUACUAUUUAUAAGGUCCGGCUAACUACGUGCCAGCAGCCGCGGUAAUACGUAGGGACCAAGCGUUGUUCGGAUUUACUGGGCGUAAAGGGCGCGUAGGCGGCAAUUCAAGUCAUCUGUGAAAUCUCCGGGCUUAACUCGGAACGGUCAGAUGAUACUGCUUUGCUAGAGUGCAGAAGGGGCAAUCGGAAUUCUUGGUGUAGCGGUGAAAUGCGUAGAUAUCAAGAGGAACACCUGAGGUGAAGACGGGUUGCUGGGCUGACACUGACGCUGAGGCGCGAAAGCCAGGGGAGCAAACGGGAUUAGAUACCCACGUAGUCCCUGAGCGGGCUGGCAAGGCGCAU
rnacentral:rRNA from 1 species